UGGGCGUGAGUAUGAAAGUUUAUUAAGUUAAUAGCCUUAAUUAAAGCAAAACCUAUUUACUAUGGCGGCUGUUAGUCUCACCAGAGUCGUAUGUCCUUAAACGAAACUGCGCGAUCAUCUUACCUUUUAACUUUUGCUAAUAUAAAAUAAUUACAUUAUAGCAAUCUGGCACGUCGCUGUACUAAAAGUGAAGAUUUUAAAUAACUCAUCUUCUAAUUACUUAUUAGCAUUUAUUAAUAACGUACAAGUCAAGACGCCGUUUUAAGAGGCUUAAGAUGUACGAUUUAAUUGAUUUGAUAGAAUUUAUAAGAAUGAAAACUUUCUUUAUUAAAAUAAUUUGGAAGUAAAAUAGGGUUAUUAUUCUUAUUUGAAAUGAGCUACUAAUAAGUGUA
rnacentral:rRNA from 1 species